rnacentral:rRNA from 1 species
UACGGGGGGGGCAAGCGUUGUUCGGAAUUACUGGGCGUAAAGGGCUCGUAGGUGGCCAACUAAGUCAGACGUGAAAUCCCUCGGCUUAACCGGGGAACUGCGUCUGAUACUGGAUGGCUAGAGUUUGGGAGAGGGAUGCGGAAUUCCAGGUGUAGCGGUGAAAUGCGUAGAUAUCUGGAGGAACACCGGUGGCGAAGGCGGCAUCCUGGACCGAGAUUGACGCUGAGGCGCGAAAGCCAGGGGAGCAAACGGG